AAAAACCUCAUUUGUAUAGCGAGGACGUCUAACUCGAGCAGCCUUUUUUGUCGUCGAAUGGUGGCGUUGUUCACCAACUCCGGUAAGCGCCCCAGUGGAAGCCGUCUGAGGCCUAUCCGGGAGCCAGUGCCUGCGGACGCCGCUGCCUGACCUUCAGCGUGGGCCCACUACCGCCACCGGCGCCGGCCCGGGCUCGCACCGACUGCAGCUCCGGCCCGAGCGACCACCUCCAAUGAAUGAAUGGGACGGGUGGCAGCUAUUUCCAGCCCGGCGCGGUGCCACCGGCCGCGCCCGGCUCUGGUGGCCAGGUAUUGCAGUUCCACCGUGAUGGUUUGCUCAGUGAGCUGACCCGGAACUGAGCAGGACGACUGGGCCCGAGUGGGGGCGCGAAAUUAAUUAUAUGUAAUCCCGGAGGGUUAGAUAAUUGUGGUCUUAUUCUGUGGAGGUAAUGAUCAACCAACAUCAACGCCAUGUCAAUAAAACUGAGACUUGAAUUUUUUAA